GUAAGCUCUGGGAGUUGGUGAUGGACAGGGAGGCCUGGCGUGCUGCAGUCCAUGGGGUCUCAAAGAGUCAGACAUGACUGAGCGACUGAACUGAACUGAACUGAACUGAACCUGCCCUUUGCUGCAAAACUAUAUAACCUGGCUUUCCCCUCUCACCUCCUCAGAGCGGUUCUCCCAGGGUCACUUGAGAUGCUGCUUCUUGGGCUUAAGCCCUAAAAAUUCCCAGCAAAAGAACACACAAAAAAACCUCUCAACUUUUCAGUUGUGAAUAUCUUUUAAGUCCACGCUUGUGUGCCUAGAUUCACACGCAGUGCAAUCAGCAUGUUACUGAGGCCAAGCUUGCUCUGCUCGCUGGGAGACCAGGUGUUGAGGCAAGGAAUAUGACUUUAUUUGGAGAACCGGCUGAUCAAGAAGAUGGCAGACAAAUGUCUGAACAUAACCAUCUCACCCGGGUCUGGGUGCCAGGUUCCCUUAUGGAUCAGAGAUGGGGCGAAGGUGAGGAAACAAAGUAGAAAGGCCAUCAACCUUGUGGAUAUCUCCUAGAAUGGCAAACCUCAGACAGCGGGAUGUGUUCCUUCCUGCCUGCCAUCCACAGGUGGACAGGCUUCUGAACAAAGACACUUUAGCUGAACAGUGAGGCAGAGAGGCAGGAUUCGCUGAGGCAGGCCAUCGUGUAUGAUUACAAUAAGAGCAGCAAUGAAAAAGCAAGUCACACAGUUCCAACAGGAGGUCAGAACUGGCUUCUCCCAGGGUGAACCAGCAGUGUGCUCUUUCCCCUGAGGACCCGGGGAGGCGGGCGAGGAGGGAGCCCCUCACCUCAGACACAGCUUUGGGGCAGGACUGGGAGAGCCAGAAAGGCAGAGAUCACAGUAAAUAACAUUUCUGUGAAAUGUAUUAAAAGUCAAAACAAAUGCAAAUUAUCCAUGAUAAGCAAAACUAUCAGUGUUUUGGGUAAAGACAGGAUCAGCAGAACUGACUUUUCUCUCCACUUUGGUCUCCAGUGUGGCUGGCACAGUGCUGAUUUCUCUUUGCUGUUUUUUUUUUAGGAAAGAGGAGCUUCCCUGGUGGCUGAAAUGGUAAAGAAACUGCCGCAGGUGGGUUCUUUACCACUACCACCACCUGGGAAGCCCACAAAGAGAGCAAGAAGACACGUGCACUGGCGUUUACACAGAAAGGAUGGGGGCAGUUGCGGCUGGCGAGCACCACCCAUGUGGACACCCGGCGUCCUUCAGCGGACUGUGUGCUUCAGUGCCGUAAGCUCUGUUCUCUCCCCGCUCCCCCCACCCCGUCCCUCCCCCAGUUUGGGGACCCUGGCUGUGGAUCCUCAUGUAUAUUUUACGUGUCUAUCAGGGCAGCAGGAGAUUCAAAGUGCCUGAAAAAUUAAAAGCUUUUUAUUCUCUUGCUUUUCCCCCCCUGCUUUUAUUACAUACAAAUUUGGCAUAGAAUACCAUGCCUGAUGCGGACAUGUAAUAUUUAAUAAACAGCUGUUGCUUUUUCUUUGCUAUC